AGAGUUUGAUCCUGGCUCAGAACGAACGUUGGCGGCGUGGAUUAGGCAUGCAAGUCGAACGAAGACACUCUGGAUAGCAAUAUUUGGAGUGGACUGAGUGGCGAAAGGGGCAGUAAUGCGUGGGUAACCUACCCUGGGGAUGGGCAUAGCCGGUCUAACGGCCGGGUAAUUCCCAGCGAUUCGGCGAGGAGGCAUCUUCUUGCCGGGAAAUGAGUUUCGCCUCGGGAGGGGCUCACGUCGUAUUAGCUAGUUGGUGGGGUAACGGCCUACCAAGGCAAAGAUGCGUAGCGGGUGUGAGAGCACGACCCGCGCCACUGGCACUGAGACACUGGCCAGACACCUACGGGUGGCUGCAGUCGAGAAUCUUCGGCAAUGGGCGCAAGCCUGACCGAGCGACGCCGCGUGUGCGAUGAAGGCCUUCGGGUUGUAAAGCACUGUCGAGGGGGAUCAAGGCGCAAGCUUGAGAGAUCCCCUGGAGGAAGCACGGGCUAACUUCGUGCAGCAGCCGCGGUAAGAC
rnacentral:rRNA from 1 species